GAGGAACCUGAGAGACGACAUAGAGCCAGAGUUACCAGAGCAGAGUUAGAGCUCAUACAUCAAAUGAUGAGUUCAUCCAGAUUACAGGUCUCUUCACCGUGAGCUGAGUCUCUAAACCCUCAGGCUACAACCACAGAGCUCCUCCAUGCCUCCGCUUCAGGAAACACAUUCAUUGACUCCACAGAGGAAACGAGAAGCUCGCCAUGUGACGCAGGUCACCGCCCCCCCACACAAUGAUGACCUCAUGCUGGAGGCUAGGAGGGAACACGCUAGCUGGAUCCUAGCAGGAGGAGGACAAUGGACGGGUGGGGUCCACCAGCUGGUCAUGAAACAUGGGUGAUAGAGCUCUUUAUGAACAUGAGUCCCUCAACGCACCAUGAGGAGUGACACCAGAGUGACCAGGGACCCGCUGGAUCACCGCCUUCCUAGAGCGCCAGGAAUUUGGGGCGGCUGUAGCUCAGUGGGGUAAGAGGGCCGUCCUGCAACCGCAAGGUUGUGGGUUCGAUCCCCGCUCUCCCCAUUAGUUGCAAGUCGAAGUGUCCUUGAGCAAGGCACUGAACCCCCAGUUGCUUCCCGGGCGCAUCACUGCAGCCCACUGCUCCUUAAUAACUAAGGAUGGGUUAAAUGCAGAGAACUAAUUUCCCCUUGGGGAUUAAUAAAAGUGUAUAUUUAAUUACUCCUUUAAUAAAUGCAUCGGUUGAGUGUGGAGGGCUCUUUCCACAGUCAGCACAAGGCCUGCAGGAGGUCACACACACACACGCAUUCCUCACAUUCCAUAUCCGAUAUGCAUGUGGGCCUCCCGAUGAACCACUGAGGAACAACAGGGCCGUGAACGCACCACCGGCGUUAGCUGACCUGCUGGUCCUUGAAGGCGUCGUCAGUUGCAGUGGAAAACAUUUAGUAUUUACUCAUGGGAUAUAUUAAUGUUAAAAGACUCAAUAUGUCCGAAUGCACAUAGAUUUGUGUUGAUUAAUAAUACAAAUAAACUAUUCUACAGUGCUGA